GACGAACGCUGGCGGCGUGCUUAACACAUGCAAGUCGAACGAUGAAGCCUUUUGGGGGUGGAUUAGUGGCGAACGGGUGAGUAACACGUGAGUAACCUGCCCCUUUCUCUGGGAUAACUGUGGGAAACUGCAGCUAAUACCGGAUAUUCACUUGUCCAGGCAUCUGGGUGGGUGGAAAGUUUUUUCGGUGGGGGAUGGGCUCGCGGCCUAUCAGCUUGUUGGUGGGGUAGUGGCCUACCAAGGCUUUGACGGGUAGCCGGCCUGAGAGGGCGACCGGCCACACUGGGACUGAGAUACGGCCCAGACUCUACGGGAGGCAG
rnacentral:rRNA from 1 species